GCGAAUGGCUCAUUAAAUCAGUUAUCGUUUAUUUGAUAGUACCUUACUACUUGGAUAACCGUGGUAAUUCUAGAGCUAAUACAUGCUAAAAACCUCGACUUCGGAAGGGGUGUAUUUAUUAGAUAAAAAACCAAUGCCCUUCGGGGCUCCUUGGUGAUUCAUAAUAACUUAACGAAUCGCAUGGCCUUGUGCCGGCGAUGGUUCAUUCAAAUUUCUGCCCUAUCAACUUUCGAUGGUAGGAUAGUGGCCUACCAUGGUUUCAACGGGUAACGGGGAAUUAGGGUUCUAUUCCGGAGAGGGAGCCUGAGAAACGGCUACCACAUCCAAGGAAGGCAGCAGGCGCGCAAAUUACCCAAUCCCGACACGGGGAGGUAGUGACAAUAAAUACUGAUACAGGGCUCUUUUGGGUCUUGUAAUUGGAAUGAGUACAAUUUAAAUCCCUUAACGAGGAACAAUUGGAGGGCAAGUCUGGUGCCAGCAGCCGCGGUAAUUCCAGCUCCAAUAGCGUAUAUUAAAGUUGUUGCAGUUAAAAAGCUCGUAGUUGAACCUUGGGCCUGGCUGGCCGGUCCGCCUCACCGCGUGCACUGGUCCGGCCGGGUCUUUCCUUCUGGGGAGCCGCAUGCCCUUCACUGGGUGUGUCGGGGAACCAGGACUUUUACUUUGAAAAAAUUAGAGUGUUCAAAGCAGGCCUAUGCUCGAAUACAUUAGCAUGGAAUAAUAGAAUAGGACGUGUGGUUCUAUUUUGUUGGUUUCUAGGACCGCCGUAAUGAUUAAUAGGGAUAGUCGGGGGCAUCAGUAUUCAAUUGUCAGAGGUGAAAUUCUUGGAUUUAUUGAAGACUAACUACUGCGAAAGCAUUUGCCAAGGAUGUUUUCAUUAAUCAGUGAACGAAAGUUAGGGGAUCGAAGACGAUCAGAUACCGUCGUAGUCUUAACCAUAAACUAUGCCGACUAGGGAUCGGGCGAUGUUAUCUUUUUGACUCGCUCG
rnacentral:rRNA from 1 species